rnacentral:rRNA from 1 species
GUGGGGAAUAUUGGACAAUGGGGGGAACCCUGAUCCAGCCAUGCCGCGUGUGUGAAGAAGGCCUUUUGGUUGUAAAGCACUUUAAGCGAGGAGGAGGCUACCGAGAUUAAUACUCUUGGAUAGUGGACGUUACUCGCAGAAUAAGCACCGGCUAACUCUGUGCCAGCAGCCGCGGUAAUACAGAGGGUGCGAGCGUUAAUCGGAUUUACUGGGCGUAAAGCGUGCGUAGGCGGCUUUUUAAGUCGGAUGUGAAAUCCCCGAGCUUAACUUGGGAAUUGCAUUCGAUACUGGGAAGCUAGAGUAUGGGAGAGGAUGGUAGAAUUCCAGGUGUAGCAGUGAAAUGCGUAGAGAUCUGGAGGAAUACCGAUGGCGAAGGCAGCCAUCUGGCCUAAUACUGACGCUGAGGUACGAAAGCAUGGGGAGCAAACAGGAUUAGAUACCCGGGUAGUCC